AACCCAUGGUGAGGGCACUUUCUUAGUAAGUCCUUGUAUCUCUCCCAUGCAUCGUAAAGAUUUUUAAGUCCAUCUGUACAAAUAAAGAGAUAUCAUUACGUAAUUU
rnacentral:snoRNA from 1 species